AAUAAAUAGACUGGGAACUAGGAGAAACAGGAACCGGUAGGGGCAGUAGCUGUGGUAAUCGCCCCUGCUUUGAAACAGAAGUAGGAGAAAAUACUAGUCUGCUAAAAGUCACCAAUGGCUGCCAUCAAACAAGUCUGAUUCAAAGACCACUAAAGGCAUAGUUCACAUGCUGGGGCUUCCAGACAGGCUUUUCCAACUGAACGCCUUCAGGGCUGUGACACUGUCAAGGGUUUGCUGGGAUCAGACGCCAGCAGUUAGAUUUCCUGUGGAUUUAUCAGCCCAAUCCUUACUGUGCAGCCUUGAUACUGGAUCUAGAGUGAGACCAUGAGGCACGUCUGUGAAUGUAUACACGGAGUAGGUUAUGAAGACUGGGAGAGACUCAUAGAAACAUUACCAUAUUACAUAUUUAGGAGCCCUACAAUCAACUGAGACUUAAAGAAUGACAGAAUGGAAGCUGUCCUGGGUAACAAAGUCUGAGAAACUCCCUGUUGCUGUCAUCUUUCUUGCUUAUAACCAGGAGGGGUCUCUGACUUAAGUGACUUUGAGUACUUUUGGGACUGAAAAAGGGGGUAUGGCUUGCUGCUGCUUUUUGUAACAAAAGGGGAAGGCAAAGAGCAGAGGAGAAAGAUGAGGAAAUGAAAUGAAAGAAGGCAAGGCCAGUAACAAAUACAGCAGUAGUAGGAGGA